CCUCCAGCUCCACCACCCGCGCAUCGGCUGCCGCCCUGGCUCGGCUCUCGAUAUACAGCCUGCGAUGGAGCUCCUCUAUCUCAAUCUGAGAGACGGCCAUGGACAUAGAAAUAAUUGUGCAAGAUGGCAGAGCCCAUGAACAUAACAGCGGAUGUAACCAACAUUAAAAUGCACUCCGACCUUGCUAAGUGCACCACUGGUGCACAGCAAGUUCGCAUUCUCAGUGAUGUGCUAUAGCUCCGGCCUUGAAAUCUACCUCC